UUCAAAAGUAGUUGUUCAUAUAUAUGAUCAUUUUCUGACAUUUGUGAAAUAAAAUUAUGUGAGGAAUGCUUUUGAUUACAUUUAAUGCAAAUUUAUUAUUUUGAGGAGAACUUUUCACAACAAAAGGGGUCGAUUAAAAAAAUACCUUAGUGUAGUGUAGUGUAGUGUACAUGUUACAAGGGUGCAUCCAGACUUUUAAUAAGGGGAGUCACACACUUAGCAUAAAGACUAGUUUUUGAAAACCGCUUAAAAUGUUCUUUAAUGUUCUGUUAUGGAGGCUGACAAAAUUUAAAGACCAUGGUGCAAAAUUUUAAACAACCUAUUAUUAAGGCCUUAGCACGAAAGUAGUUAACAAUUUACUAUAUACAUAGUAAUCUACUAACUUUUCACUAAUUUUAAGCACUUUUUAUUGUUUUGCUAACUUGUAGCAUGCUAAAAGCUAAAACCAUUUUAUUAAAAAAAAACAUGAACACAUCUAAAUAAUGACAGAUUGUGGAGCAAACAAAACAAACAUACCUUAAUGUUUUUGCAAAUGUCAAAGUGACAACAUUGAAUUUGUAUUUUCUUUUUUCAUUAAUUUUGUUUUCAUAACUCGCCGUGGUUUAUUUCCGUUAAAACACCGAAUAAUAUUAAAAAUUUAUUCUACCAGAUCUAUUCCCCGUGAAGCAUCUUCAAUACCCAGAAGCAACUGCAAUGCUACAACUGUUGGCUUCAGUGUGAAGGCUGGUGGCAGUGGUUGUGGGUGUUCAGGAGGGUAUCUAAGGUUUCGACAAUAAAGACAAGCAUUGUCCGGAAAAGGAUGAUUGAUUUCAUCGAUGAAUCGAUUAGUCUCCACUCUGUAUUGCCAAAAAAAAAUACUAAACGAUGAGCUAUCAACUUCUAUAAGACGAGACCAGCACCAGACGAGAUGCAGUGGAACCCGUCUAUGGACACGAGAGAGUGGCGCUUUCUUUAACAAUGUCCUUCAGCGCCCGUGCACUUUGGUGGCGUUCAUCGGUGUAUGCAGUUUUAUUUGUGCUACAGCCUUACAAAGUACCUACUAAGUUCGAUGAUAUAUACCAAAUCUAUGAAUAAAUUUUAUUUCACAAUUUAUCAAUUUUAAAUCACUUUGUCACAUUUGAGAAAAAUGACAUAUGUCAUA